rnacentral:rRNA from 1 species
UCGAUUGAGGCGUCGCGUUCGAUUGUAAAAUGACAACGCGUCCCUCGAAGUGCAGCACGCGCUCAACACGUCGCCGCGUGAGCAAGGCCUAAAUUGCAUUUUUAACCUUGCAAUCGUUGGCAUUCGUUGGCGCGCGCGUCUUUUAUAAUCCCUUAACCUCAGAUCAGGCAAGAUUACCCGCUGAAUUUAAGCAUAUUACUAAGCGGAGGAAAAUGUAGUUCAUUUUCUUGUCUGGUCGUACUCAUAACCGCAGCAGGUCUCCAAGGUGAGCAGCCUCUAGUUGAUAGAACAAUGUAGGUAAGGGAAGUCGG